UAGCUAGUUGGUGAGGUAAAGGCUUACCAAGGCGACGAUCUGUAGCGGGUCUGAGAGGAUGAUCCGCCACACUGGAACUGAGACACGGUCCAGACUCCUACGGGAGGCAGCAGUGGGGAAUUUUGGACAAUGGGGGCAACCCUGAUCCAGCCAUGCCGCGUGAGUGAAGAAGGCCUUCGGGUUGUAAAGCUCUUUCGGCCGGGAAGAAAUCGCAUGGGCCAAUACCCUGUGUGGAUGACGGUACCGGAAUAAGAAGCACCGGCUAACUACGUGCCAGCAGCCGCGGUAAUACGUAGGUGCGAGCGUUAAUCGGAAUUACUGGGCGUAAAGCGUGCGCAGGCGGUUUUGUAAGACAGGCGUGAAAUCCCCGGGCUUAACCUGGGAACUGCGUUUGUGACUGCAAGGCUAGAGUACGGCAGAGGGGGGUGGAAUUCCACGUGUAGCAGUGAAAUGCGUAGAGAUGUGGAGGAACACCAAUGGCGAAGGCAGCCCCCUGGGUCGAUACUGGCGCUCAUGCACGAAAGCGUGGGUAGCAAACAGGAUUAGAUACCCUGGUAGUCCACGCCCUAAACUAUGUCAACUAGGUGUUGGGUGGGUAAAACCAUUUAGUACCGUAGCUAACGCGUGAAGUUGACCGCCUGGGGAGUACGGCCGCAAGGUUAAAACUCAAAGGAAUUGACGGGGACCCGCACAAGCGGUGGAUGAUGUGGAUUAAUUCGAUGCAACGCGAAAAACCUUACCUACCCUUGACAUGCCAGGAACUUGCCAGAGAUGGCUUGGUGCCCGAAAGGGAGCCUGGACACAGGUGCUGCAUGGCUGUCGUCAGCUCGUGUCGUGAGAUGUUGGGUUAAGUCCCGCAACGAGCGCAACCCUUGUCGUUAAUUGCCUUCAUUUAGUUGGGCACUUUAACGAGACUGCCGGUGACAAACCGGAGGAAGGUGGGGAUGACGUCAAGUCCUCAUGGCCCUUAUGGGUAGGGCUUCACACGUCAUACAAUGGUCGGUACAAAGGGUUGCCAAGCCGCGAGGCGGAGCCAAUCCCAGAAAGCCGAUCGUAGUCCGGAUUGCAGGCUGCAACUCGCCUGCAUGAAGUCGGAAUCGCUAGUAAUCGUGGAUCAGCAUGUCACGGUGAAUACGUUCCCGGGUCUUGUACACACCGCCCGUCACACCAUGGGAGCGGGUUCCGCCAGAAGUAGGUAGCCUAACCGCAAGGGGGGCGCUUACCACGGCGGGGUUCGUGACUGGGGUGAAGUCGGAACAAGGUAGCCGUAGGGGAACCUGCGGCUG
rnacentral:rRNA from 1 species